AGCAGCCGCGGUAAUUCCAGCUCCAAUAGCGUAUAUUAAAGUUGUUGCAGUUAAAAAGCUCGUAGUUGAAUUUCGGGGUCAAUAAGUUGGUCAUGCCAAUGGUAUGCACUGGCUUUAUUGAUUCCUACCUCUUGACGAACUGUGAUGCCAUUAAUUUGGCGUUGCAAGGAAUCAGGACUGUUACCUUGAAAAAAUUAGAGUGUUUAAAGCAAGCUUACGCUUGAAUACAUUAGCAUGGAAUAAUGAAAUAGGAUGUUUGAUCCUAUUUUGUUGGUUUCUAGGAUCGACGUAAUGAUUAAUAGGGAUAGUUGGGGGCAUUAGUAUUCAAUUGUCAGAGGUGAAAUUCUUGGAUUUAUUGAAGACUAACUACUGCGGAAGCAUUUGCCAAGGAUGUUUUCAUUAAUCAAGAACGAAAGUUAGGGGAUCGAAGACGAUCAGAUACCGUCGUAGUCUUAACCAUAAACUAUGCCGACUAGGGAUCGGAUGAUGUUAAUUUUUAAUGACUCU
rnacentral:rRNA from 1 species